CUCUGCCUCUCUCCUUGCUGCUACUGUAAGAAGAAGGACGUGGUUUCUUCACCUUCUUUCGUGAUUGUAAGUUUCCUGAGGCUUCCCCAGACCUGCUGACCUGGCCCUCUCUGCAGUGCCUGGCAUAGAGCAGAAACUCAGUAAAUGAAGUCUGUGUGUUUCAUAUACGAAUAACUAAUUGUCAUGACCGGAGGUAAACUGAACAUCUGAAAAGGACCUAAUUAACAUUGUGCGCAAGUGAAAGAAUAAAUGAAUAAAUGAAUAAAAGAAUGAAUGAGUGAAUACGGAUGCUGAGAACUGAGAUGUGACAUCUCCAUACUGGCAGAAGCUCCGAAAGAAACAGUCAUCACUUCCUGUCCUACUGCACGCCAUGUGUUAGGCAGUGCUUUGCUGAAAUCCAGAAUAUAAAGUUAAAAUUUAUGAGUUAAAAGUUUGAACUUUUGAGUGAGGUGUAAUUAAGCACAUAUUAGUUUGUAGAAUCCUAAAUGUCAGUGCAUCUAAACAAAGUAUAUCUAUUUUUAUUUGAAAGCAAAAAAUGAUGACACAUUUUUAGAGAAUUAAAAGGUAAUAAACUGAUCAUUGAAAUUAAAUUAAUUUUUAAUGGUAAAAUUAAUUUGUGUGAAGUAGAAAGAAUGUGGCUCAUAAUGUUUUAUUGAUGAUGCAUAAAAAUGAUCAUAAGUCAUUACUCAUUCACUUGAAAGCCAGCAUUAUUCCAGGAGAAUAAAUUUCUGUUGUUUUUGUUUG
rnacentral:lncRNA from 1 species